rnacentral:tRNA from 1 species
CGGGGUGUAGCGCAGUUGGCUAGCGCGCCACGUUCGGGACAUGGAGGCCGGAGGUUCGCCAUGCAGCAGAGGAAUGUUUUCACUUCGCUUCAACAUUUUACGCUUCACAGAAGUCCUCUCACCCCGA